rnacentral:tRNA from 1 species
UUUCUUGUGGUGUAAUUAACACAUCAGUUUUUCGGGCUGAAGAUAGGUUUGAGUACUUUAAGAGGC